CUACGAACUUAAUUGGAUUGAGCCUUUCUAUGGAAACUUACCAUAUGAUAACUUUCAAAUUCAGAGAACCCCUGGAAUUGACAAUGAGCAAUCCUGAGCCAAAUCUUGUUUUUUCGCAAAAAAAACAAAGAAAAGUUCAUAAAGUGAAAAUGAAAAGGAUAGGUGCAGAGACUCAAUGGAAGUUGUUCUAACAAACGAAGUUGCCGAUAUUUACUUUCACAUUGGGUUAGAAAAGG
rfam:Lupinus angustifolius cultivar Tanjil contig_16012, whole genome shotgun sequence.